CUUGAUGGAUCCCAACCACAACGGCCGAUCCGCCGGCCGGUCCUGGCCAUAGGUCGCCAGCAGGGCCUGCGCUUC
rnacentral:antisense_RNA from 1 species